UACGAAGGGGGCUAGCGUUGUUCGGAAUUACUGGGCGUAAAGCGUGCGCAGGCGGCUUCUCAAGUCAGGGGUGAAAGCCCAGAGCUCAACUCUGGAAUUGCCUUUGAGACUGAGUGGCUUGAGUACGAGAGAGGUGAGUGGAAUUCCCAGUGUAGAGGUGAAAUUCGUAGAUAUUGGGAAGAACACCAGUGGCGAAGGCGACACACUGGCCCGUUACUGACGCUGAGGCGCGAAAGCGUGGGGAGCAAACAGG
rnacentral:rRNA from 1 species